rnacentral:tRNA from 2 species
UUUAAUACAGCUAGUAGUAGCAAUAAGUUUCGACCUUAUAGGUGGUACGCCCUAUUAAAA